CUUUCGAAUAAGAGGUUGCUAACUCUGUGCCAGCAGCAGCGGUGAUACUGAGACCUCGAGCGUUAUCCGGAUUUACUGGGCGUAAAGCGUCUGUAGGGGGUGUGUUAAGUUCCACGUAAAAUCUUCUGGCUCAACUUUAAGUUCGCUUGGAAAACUAAUAAACUGGAGUCCAGCAGAGGUGCAUGGAACUUGCGGUGUAGGAGUGAAAUCCGUUGAUAUCGCAAGGAACACCAAAGGCGAAGGCAUUGCACUGGGCUGGUACUGACCCUGAGAGACGAAAGCGUGGGGAGCAAAACGGAUUAGAUACCCGUGUAGUCCACGCCGUAAACGAUGGAUACUAGAUGUUCGGGGAUUCGACCCCCUGGGUGUCACAGCUAACGCGUUAAGUAUCCCGCCUGGGAAGUACGGCCGCAAGGCUAAAACUCAAAGGAAUAGACGGGGAUCCGCACAAGCGGUGGAGCGUCUGGUUUAAUUUGAUAGUAAGCAAUGGACCUCACCAAGGUUUGACAUCCUAUGACAACCCUGGAAACAGGGCUUCCUUCGGGCAUAGUGACAGGUGCUGCAUGGUCGUCGUCAGUUCGUGCCGUGAGGUGUUCCGUUAAGUCGGGAAACGAACGAAACCCUCGUCGCAUGUUACAAAUUUCAUGCGAGACUGCCCGGGUCAACCGGGAGGAAGGCGGGGAUGACGUCAGAUCAGCAUGGCCCUUAUACCUUGGGCUACACAGGCGCUACAAUGGCCGGUACAAAGGGUUGCAAAACCGCGAGGUGAAGCUAAUCCCAUAAAGCCGGUCCAAGUUCGGAUUGGAGGCUGCAACUCGCCUCCAUGAAGUUGGAAUCGCUAGUAAUCGUGGAUCAGCCAUACCACGGUGAAUACGUUCCCGGAUCUUGUACUCACCGCCCGUCACACCAAGAGAGUUGGUAGCUCCUGAAGC
rnacentral:rRNA from 1 species